rnacentral:rRNA from 1 species
GACAGAGGGUGCAAACGUUGUUCGGAAUUACUGGGCGUAAAGCGUGUGUAGGCGGCUUUGCAAGUCAGGUGUGAAAUCCCCCGGGCUCAACCUGGGAAGUGCACUUGAAACUGCAGAGCUUGAGUAUCGGAGAGGUUGGUGGAAUUCCUGGUGUAGCGGUGAAAUGCGCAGAUAUCAGGAAGAACACCAAUGGCGAAAGCAGCUCUCUGGGACGGUACUGACGCUGAGACGCGAAAGCGUGGGGAGCGAACAGG